AGUGAAGAUGCGCGCGAUGCAGCGCUUCUUCGAGGAAGGCGACAAGGUCAAGAUCACCCUGCGCUAUCGCGGCCGCGAAAUGGCGCAUCAGGAAAUCGGCACCAAGCUCCUGGACAAGGUCAAGGCCGACGUGGCCGAAUACGCCAAGGUCGAGCAGGACGCCCGUUUUGAAGGCCGUCAGGUGGUGAUGGUGCUGGCGCCGCGCUGAUUGAAAAUCAGCCGUUCACGUUUGUGAAAAUUGCGCGUUUGUGAAUAUUGAAUACGGCCCGCCAGGCGAUCUGGCGGGCCUUUUUCUUUACGUUUUUUUUUGGCGAAUCGUGCGGAUCCGGA
rnacentral:misc_RNA from 1 species